AAGUCGUAACAAGGUUUCCGUAGGUGAACCUGCGGAAGGAUCAUUAUCACGUAUCCACGUUAUAAACCAAUGUUGACACAGUUUUAACCUUUAGGGAUUUUUUUAAUGGAGUUUAUAUUUAAACAUUUAAACGUUUUUUGAAGUGAUUAAACGUCGUUUGAGUAUAACAACAAUAUGUAUUUAUUGUACAUUAAUUUCUCUAAAGUUGUAUUAAUCACUUUAUUAUUAACCAUUUUAACAAUAUCAUUAUAAUUUUUGAACUAAAUUAAUUUAUACUCUUUCACGAGAGAUAAAUACAAAUUACGAAACUAAAAGAACAACUCUUAGCAACGGAUAUCUUGGUUCUCGUAACGAUGAAGGCAGC
rnacentral:misc_RNA from 1 species